rnacentral:rRNA from 1 species
AAGCCAAGCUUGCUUGGUGGAUCAGUGGCGAACGGGUGAGUAACACGUGAGCAACCUGCCCUGGACUCUGGGAUAAGCGCUGGAAACGGCGUCUAAUACUGGAUAUGAGCUCCUUCCGCAUGGUGGGGGUUGGAAAGAUUUUUCGGUCUGGGAUGGGCUCGCGGCCUAUCAGCUUGUUGGUGAGGUAAUGGCUCACCAAGGCGUCGACGGGUAGCCGGCCUGAGAGGGUGACCGGCCACACUGGGACUGAGACACGGCCCAGACUCCUACGGGAGGCAGCAGUGGGGAAUAUUGCACAAUGGGCGGAAGCCUGAUGCAGCAACGCCGCGUGAGGGAUGACGGCCUUCGGGUUGUAAACCUCUUUUAGCAGGGAAGAAGCGAAAGUGACGGUACCUGCAGAAAAAGCGCCGGCUAACUACGUGCCAGCAGCCGCGGUAAUACGUAGGGCGCAAGCGUUAUCCGGAAUUAUUGGGCGUAAAGAGCUCGUAGGCGGUUUGUCGCGUCUGCUGUGAAAUCCCGAGGCUCAACCUCGGGCCUGCAGUGGGUACGGGCAGACUAGAGUGCGGUAGGGGAGAUUGGAAUUCCUGGUGUAGCGGUGGAAUGCGCAGAUAUCAGGAGGAACACCGAUGGCGAAGGCAGAUCUCUGGGCCGUAACUGACGCUGAGGAGCGAAAGGGUGGGGAGCAAACAGGCUUAGAUACCCUGGUAGUCCACCCCGUAAACGUUGGGAACUAGUUGUGGGGACCAUUC